UUUUCUUUGCAUUUGUGAGUUCAAUUGCUUAAGGAAUUCCAUUUCCAUCAUCAUCUUCUGGAAAUUUUGCCUUUGAACUAGCAUUGUUCUUUGAGCAAAGUAGCGUUAUCCUUGAGUAGCAGAAUAUUUUCACUCUUGGAGCAGAGGUUCUGAGUUUCACUUUGUUCCUACAAGUUGGUAAUGAAGUAAGGGAAGAUACCACUGCACUUUGUCUUGGAAACGUCUUGUAAUUAGGUGAAGCAAUUAUGAACAUUAUAUGAAAAGUUAGAAUUUCAAUCCCUGCCCUGGACUGAAAAUUGUUUUUGUUGCUUUUUCAUGACUUGUUUUAAGAGUGAAAGCUAUGUAGGCCUGGCUUCCCAGGGAAGGCUGGGCUCCUUCCACAAUAAAGUUAGAAGCUCCUGAAGAUACAAACAACCAUCUGUGGCAGUGUCCCAGUAUAGAGAUGAAUGAUCCAUCUGGCUUAGCUGGCAUUCUCUGAGGAAAGUAGAUGAACAAAGCCAUUUUUUAUUUGCCAUAUGCAGUAGAACCCAGAGUUGCUGGAGUAUACGUACCUGCCCAAUCGUUUUACUGUCCUACUAGGCAUCUACUCUCCAUGAGCUCAUGUGUCCUUUUGAGCCUGCUAUAUGCCUUCCACCACAAGCUCUGGUGGCACCGACUUGUGAAGGUUACCCCAGUGUGCACUGUUUUGUUACCUCCUGAAAUCCACCUCCUGCCAGAGUUUUUGGUCAUCCUUAGUUCUAACAGGCAGCAUUUUGUGAGCAGGAGUUAUGCAUUCAGUUUAUUCACCACACUGACUGCUUUGUUAUUCCCCAUUGUGUCCUCACCUUCCCCUGCCCUCUUUUGGACGUUAUCUAGCUUGUUCCGUAUGUUUUUGUACGUCCCCAGACAUGAAUGCCUACUACUUUAGUAUCAUUGCUGGCUUUGGUUUGCAGUGUCUGUUUCUUCAUAUGGGUAGCAGAGAUAAAUGCAAACGUAUUAACAUGGCAUAUAUGUUUUAAAAUGUUAAAGUAUAACAAUGAAUGUACACUUCUGACAUAUGCAUGUGUAACUUCUGUUAAUUAAAUGAAAGUUAUGUAUGUGUUCAAGGGACACUAUGUCCUAAAAAAUGUACUUUUAAGAAUUGUGGUCAGGAUGGCCGAGCUUUAUGAAAUUUCUAAGAAUAUGGACACGAUUUAUAUUGUCUAAUACCUCAAAUGAAAAUGGUCAUUUUUGUCAGGAUUUCUGCAUUUGCAUUCCUCAGCUCUCUGGGAGAUCUGUUUUGCUAGUGUGCAGCGCGAAGACUGCUUUUUCCUUGCGAAAGGCUACAAAGUUCCCUCCCUCCUGGCCUGUGCUCCUCAGCUCUUCCUAAGAGCUCAUCACAGGGUGCAGACUUCCCUUGCAUUGCGUGCAGCGUGCCUGCUGCAUGGGUGCACAUUUCCAUAGGGCUCCCAAAGCGUCUCGUCAGUGGUGACACAGGCAAUCUCAUUUACGUUUCCAACAUGUGGGUAAGUAAACAUUACCAUGAUGCUCCUACGAAUGAACUGAAAAUCUGCUUGUACUGUUUUGUGUCAAUUGAAAGCAGCCUGACUUUUGGUAAUGUUUGUGUUGUUCAGCGAGUUUGCAACAAGUGAGGGAGGCUGAAAGAAGAAGCUUUUAUUGAAUGACAAAACAAAGUGAUUUGUUCUAGCUAGUGUGAGGAGUAUCUACAGAUUGGAUCUGUUUUCUUGAAUUUCAGAGCUGAAUGUUUUUUUGUUGUUAUUUUCUCCGAUGGAAGUAUUGAUGGUGAACCCAUAUAUCUCUGGGAGCCUAUAAGGCUGGUGAGGUUUCUUCAGUAGGAUGCUGGCUUGGGGAGAUCGACCUUGUACGUGCAUGUCCCAGCUGCAGAGUAAAAUCACUGCUCUGACUCCCGGGUAAAAGAGAUGCAGAAGCCAGAGGGUGAUCUUUAGAAAGAAAUAUGGGCUGAGUCAGUCAGCACCCAAGACAAGGAGUCAUCGCUUUUACUUGUUUCUUACAGCAAGACUGACUGGAGCUAGAAUGCUUCAACGGAUGAAGUGUGAAAAUGAGUUUUAGAAUAACCUGCUAUGAUACAUGAACAAACAUGACUACUGUAGCUGGAACUAUCUGCUGUAUCUGAAACUACUGCAGCAGUUCAUCUGAUGUUCCAGAAACUUUAUCUUUUGUUCUGUAACGGAAACGUGCAAUAGAUAAAGAUAAAAAUAAAAAUAAAAAAACAAUCUGAGGCAAGUACAACAGGUAGGCUGCUACAGUGUUGAUGGAAAUAUAGUCAUUACAUUAAAUUAUGCAGAGCACUAAAGUAACCCAGGAACUGGAAUAUUAUUAAAAUUAUUCUUUAUACAUCUCCUUGCAAUGACUACAGUGUGAAAGGUGUUUGAUUUUUUGUAUUCUGAGCAGCUGCUGAUAUUGGAGAAGAAAGUGCCUGCUUUGUUUUCACUCUGCUGAUUCUUACUGUGUCCUCAUUGUGAUAAGAUGCUUGUAAGCCUAAAACUCUGGGAACACGUGAUAAAUUGACUCUGGGAGCUUUGAUGAUGCAUUUUGAUUUUUGCUAACCACAAAAGAUGGUCUGCUUAUCGGUGGCAAUUAGAGCAAGACUGGAAAAAAGAGAAACAAAACUAUUUUUACUGUUUAAGAAGAAAUAAAAAGACAAAGUUCAUUAGUCCCUGCACAGCUCACAAAUGUAUAGCUGGUAAGACAUCCUCUAAAACUCAAUGUCUUGUAGCAGCAAACGCACAAUGAAAGUAAAUACCAGUGGAUGGCUUUAUAUUUACUUCUUAUUCAGCAAUCUGUUAUAAAACCCUGUAACACUCUGUCUUCACUGGAAGAGGAAAUGAACGUUCACUUGUGUGAGCAAAGAAUAUAUGUAUUCUAAAGAACAUGGUUAAAAACUGAAGUUCAGCUUUCACUAUAUUCUUUUUCUUAUUUAUUUAUCAAUAUAAAGCAGGUCAAUCCUUUUAUGGUAAUAUGAGGCACUGGCUGUUUUAUGCUUCUGGUUACACAUAUUCUAUUAUUAGAUAUUCUGAUUACAAUCAUCUCCUGGUAAUCUCAAAGGGGAUCUGUCUGGUAACUAUAUCGUUCUUUAAGUAUUUAAGAUAUUUCAUCAUAUUCUUGUACUCAUUUAAUAAAUUCACGAAGCAGUGAGAGAGUAUAUUGAGAUAAUAUUAUUUGUUGUCGUUGCUCCUUUAAUCCCCUCUUUACUAAUGCUGCCCAAAAUUUCCUUUCCUUUUUUUUUUUUCUGAAUUUAGCAAGGGCUCCAGUUUUGGGACCUUGUAUUUCUGUUUACUUUGUGAAAUACCUGAAUACCUGUCUCUUUUAAGUAUGCUGCAAAAUAACAGUGGUAUUCUGUGACAUUAAAUGGCUUUGCAUCUUCACAGGAUUAUUUUAGCUGGGAUGAGCAGUCAUUAAUCAACUCUAGAGAAAAGAGCACUGGAAGAGUGAGUUUAAUAGAAGCAACUAAUGUGUGUGUGCUAUGGGAUUAAUGGAUAAAACAGAGGUUCCUCAGGCAGGGGGAAUCUCUGCCACUGGUGCACCUUCUUAGGAAAGCGUACCUCAGAAAUGAAACCUAAGUGCAUCUGGGGAGCAUGCUGAGGGAUCUCUUUCAACACCUUGACUCAGAAUCUGCAGAUCUGGUUGGUUUUGUUUCAGUCAGAGGAAGAUGUUUAUGCCUGGAUGUCUGUCUACCAUAUUGGUAGCUGUACUGCUCUUUUUGUGUAUCAUUUUGACAAUUUACCUACAUUUGCUAUGUCAGAAAUGGAUUGGGUUGGAUUAAUUUGCAUUAGAAGGCAAGGCUAAGAUUUACCAAAUAAUUAGUUUACAUUUGCUGUAUUAGCCUGUAACACUUUGUGACCAUUUCCUGUGCGAAAAUAGUUACUUUGUCAACUAUGUGGGUAAAGUAAUGACAAUUUAUGUAACUUAUUCUGACCAACCUCUUUCAUUGCUGGAAUUUUCUUCUAACUAGCUAACUAACCACUUGUGAUGGAAUUUAUGGAAACUCUCUAUCAAUCUAUCCAUCCAUAUAUUGAUAACAUAGUAAGUUCACAGUUUUAGAAAGCCAGAAUUGGUCAUGGUUUCUCUGUUUGUUGGUCUGGGGCUUGGCUGGGAGGAAGUGGUGGUUGUGUUAAGCACAGUGUAAGUCUCUGUAAAUUGGGUAUAUGUUGUCAGUAAUGCUGCAUAUAACUUUUAGUCUGUCAUUUCCCAUGCAAGUGUAUACGACUUACAACUAUGUGCUGAUUAGAAAUGGACAAGUAAUGUCAAAAUGUUAUCUGUGGACUGAAAAAGAGAAAUAGUGAAACCUUAAAAAAAGGGCUAUUUUUUACAAGCUUCCAGGUAAGUUGCUGCAUAACUCCUAUUGCCAGGUACAAACUACUUCUGCAUGGGACUGGUUUAAGAACAACUGUGCUCUAUUGUCACUUCAGAAAAAGGGAAUUGUGCUUUGAGGCUGGAUUUCAACUGAGGACACAGCGUCUCAUCUGCCUACAGAGGUUUUUUGCUUUAUUAUGACAAUAAUGUAUGCAAAUUAUGCAUAUAUUCUGAUUUGGGGUUAGGCAUGUCCCCUGGGCUCCUGCAUGGCUGGUGUCUUGCAGAGGUGAAUGCUUUUUAUCAUGAAAUACAGGUAAUUGGAUGUCACCAGUUGAACGACAGCUGUGUAUUUAAAUGUGACCUUAUAUCUAGUCAGUCUUGUAACCUGUGUUUUGAGUAUGGUAUUUAGGUAAAUGCCUUGCUUUGCUUGAGGAAUUGUUAAAAUGAGCAUCACAAGGAUAUCCUAACACAAUAAGUUGACUUGCAAUGUUGAGAUUUUACUCAUGGCCUUGUUUGGGCUGAUUUAACCAGCUGUAAACACGUGUAGACGGUGACUUGUAUGUAUUGUAUGCGUUGGUACAAGCCCAGCAGAACAAAGGCAAGACCUGCACGUGCAAAGUGGUGGUGAAGGCAGCUGCCAGAAGCUGUGAUACAGAAGCCAGUGAGGCUUUGUUUUUCUAGUUGAGCAAGGACCUGGGAAGAGACUUCAAAUUAGUAAGUGCAUCAUGUACAUGCCCAGAAGAACGUGGAGUCUGUUGUUAGACUACUAGGAUGUGGCUUUUAUUAGUUUUUUACUGUGUACUAAGGUUAUUUUGCUACAGGAGAGGAGGCUCCAAAUGUCAGAGCCGUGCCAUGUUUAUGCAGCCACAGUGAAUCACUGUUACUUUAUCCUUUGCUGCUUUGAGGUGUCACGUAGGUGUCAAGUCUCAUCCCGAAAAAGAUGCAAGAAUUCGGAAAGCGUAAGAAUGAGCAGAGACAGUGUCCUGCCAGUAGUUGCUGGAAGAAGAGGAGAAGGGAGCUGUACAAUAUUGACAUGUGAAGAUGCGCAAAGUCAUUACUGCUUCUCUGGCUGAUUGUAUUUAAUAAAGUUACUUUCACAAUAAUUGAAAAUUGUCUCACGAUCCCAUUUUCCAUCCUCAUAAACAUUGGUUUAUCUCCAUUUCAAAACCAACCUGUCUGUGUA